rnacentral:miRNA from 1 species
AGUCGGGGAGGCUCUUUGUCU